rnacentral:rRNA from 1 species
UGCGUAGGCGGUCCGAUAAGUCUGAUGUGAAAGCCCUGGGCUCAACUCAGGAACUGCAUUGGAAACUGACGGACUGGAGUACCGGAGAGGGAAGCGGAAUUCCUGGUGUAGCGGUGAAAUGCGUAGAUACCAGGAGGAACACCGGUGGCGAAGGCGGUUUCCUGGCCGAGUACUGACGCUGAGGCACGAAAGCGUGGGGAGCGAACG